rnacentral:rRNA from 1 species
GUCUAUGGCCAUGCUACCCUGAACACGCCCGAUCCUGUCUGAUCUCGGAAGCUAAGCAGGGUCAGGCCUGGUUAGUACUUGGAUGGGAGACCACCUAGGAAGACCAGGUGCAUAAAAA